rnacentral:rRNA from 1 species
AGGAGGAGCUUGCUUCUCUGGAUGAGUUGCGAACGGGUGAGUAACGCGUAGGUAACCUGCCUGGUAGCGGGGGAUAACUAUUGGAAACGAUAGCUAAUACCGCAUAACAGUAGAUGUUGCAUGACAUUUGCUUAAAAGGUGCAAUUGCAUCACUACCAGAUGGACCUGCGUUGUAUUAGCUAGUUGGUGGGGUAACGGCUCACCAAGGCGACGAUACAUAGCCGACCUGAGAGGGUGAUCGGCCACACUGGGACUGAGACACGGCCCAGACUCCUACGGGAGGCAGCAGUAGGGAAUCUUCGGCAAUGGACGGAAGUCUGACCGAGCAACGCCGCGUGAGUGAAGAAGGUUUUCGGAUCGUAAAGCUCUGUUGUAAGAGAAGAACGAGUGUGAGAGUGGAAAGUUCACACUGUGACGGUAUCUUACCAGAAAGGGACGGCUAACUACGUGCCAGCAGCCGCGGUAAUACGUAGGUCCCGAGCGUUGUCCGGAUUUAUUGGGCGUAAAGCGAGCGCAGGCGGUUAGAUAAGUCUGAAGUUAAAGGCUGUGGCUUAACCAUAGUACGCUUUGGAAACUGUUUAACUUGAGUGCAA